CGUGGCCGAGUGGUUAAGGUGACGGACUGCUAAUCCGUUGUGCUCUGCACGCGCAGGUUCGAAUCCUUGAUACGA
rnacentral:tRNA from 1 species